rnacentral:rRNA from 1 species
GACGAACCGUGCAAACGUUGUUCGGAAUCACUGGGCUUAAAGGGCGCGUAGGCGGGCUGUCCAGUCUGGGGUGAAAUCCCGCGGCUCAACCGUGGAACUGCCUUAGAUACUGACGGCCUCGAGGGAGAUAGGGGCAUGCGGAACUGUAGGUGGAGCGGUGAAAUGCGUUGAUAUCUACAGGAACUCCGGUGGCGAAGGCGGCGUGCUGGAUCUCUUCUGACGCUGAGGCGCGAAAGCUAGGGGAGCAAACGGG